UGGUUUUAGUUGGUUUCUUUGUUAUUAUUACUUGCUAACUUCUUUAUGAACUUAAAUUUUGCAAGGAUCUGAUCGAAUAUCUCAAAUACACUUUAUUCUGAGUGUGGAAUUUUACUUCAGAUUCUCUUACCUGGAAGAUUCUCAAGCUCAAAUAGCAUCAUCACAGUUGGAAUGCAGGUCAUAAUAGUCUCUCACAGUGUGUAGUUUUCUAUUGUGUCAAGAUAUCUUUUAGUA